rnacentral:rRNA from 1 species
UACAGAGGUGGCAAGCGUUGUUCGGAAUUACUGGGCGUAAAGGGCGCGUAGGUGGCCUUCUUAGUCAGACGUGAAAUCCCCAGGCUUAACCUGGGCACUGCGUCUGAUACUGGAAGGCUCGAGUUCGGGAGAGGAAUGUGGAAUUCCAGGUGUAGCGGUGAAAUGCGUAGAUAUCUGGAGGAACACCGGUGGCGAAGGCGGCAUUCUGGACCGAAACUGACGCUGAGGCGCGAAAGCCAGGGGAGCAAACGGG